GAGAGCACAACUCUUUUUUUUUUUUUUUUUUUUCCUCGGGGGUGGCAAUAUAGUGGAUGGGAAAUGGAAAGCAAAGCAAAAAGACCACCAUUUGACUGGGUGAAAGGAUUUAAAAACAGCUCCCGGGUGGCAAGGCUGUCAGCCCAGCCUUUGUGAGAGCUGGGGAAACGGGGUGGAAUGCCAGUAAGGCAAAGGACAGAAUCUCCCUCUUCCCCCACCAAGUUUGGUCCGGAAGGAACCCCGCCGCAGGGAGGACAACUCUCGGGAGGGCAGAUCUUUCUCUCCGGGCCACAGCUCCCCGUGCCCCGCACUUCCCGCACUGGCUUAUCAGAUACCCCGGCAGGCUGGGGCUGAACAAGCGCUUGGGAUUUCGCAUCUCGGAAACACUAUGUCUCCUAAGACACUCAGUGCAGGGAUCGUUUCUCUCUCUGAACCCAUAAAUUCCUUCCAACUAGGGAUUAUUAUUUUUUUUUUUAAUAUCUCAAAGAGGGGUGGAAGACACAAGUUCGAAAAAUCAAGCAGUAAUUUAAUUGCCUGGGGCGAGAGACCGAUGAAAAAUAGGUUAGCGCAAAAUGUCGCUUGUUAUUCUCAGAGGCAAAGACUCUCACAGUCUCUCGUGGUCCCUCUGAAGCUGAAGCUGCUUUCUAAGGUUAUUUAUACAGUACGGGAGCUGGAUGGAGAAGACCUCUCCGGUCAUCUGCCAUACGACCUUGCCAAUGAAUUCCCCGUAGUUUCCAAUAAACUGCAAUUUCUGGCACUUUCGGAUCUGUUCUCGGAUCCGGUGUGAAAACAAAAGCGAUCCAUUCACAGCCACACGCACACGUACAGGCAGCCAGUAGCUAAUGUCACUCGGGUCUUUGAAGAAAUCUUCCAACACCUAGUGUCUCCAAAGCUUAUAUUUCGGGGUGAUACGGGCAGAGGAGAGAAACCUCCCCCGAGUGUUUCACACCCCGGCCUACGGCCCUGGCAACCACAAUUUAAUACAGCGAUUACCUGAAUAUUAAGAAAAUUACAGCGAAGGUACAGUUAACCCUGGGACUUUGAAGUGUCAAGUAACUAUUUAGUAAUUGCACUUGUAAAUAUGUUUGUGCUCGGCUGGUUCGUGCUUAAAAAUGCAAAAGUGCACUUGCUACCCGGGAAUAACUAAAUAUCUUUGUCUAAAGUGGCAGCAUAAAUAGCCGGUCGCUUUGUGGCUGUGCUUGAUAUUAGUACAUAAGGAUCAUUUUGCUUCAAUUGGGAGGCUCUCAUUCACUAGGCAAGAAACCGUUUAGGAGAAAGUAGGUUCCCGUAUGAGAGUUAACAUCCUUCAAGUGUAAGCCUCAGUCUUGAUUACACUUUAGAGCUCUGCAAGAGGUGAGCUUUUCCACACAAAUAUAAUCGGGGGAACUUUCCUUCAAUCAGGCCUCCAGCUCUCUUACAUCAUCUCAGCUGCUUCUUUCGGCACCAGCUCCCUCAAGGCUGAAUAUCCCGAGGAGUUUCGUCUGCCAGAGAUGGCUGCUCCCAGCUUCCGGGGAGGGCGGCCGUCCCGACAGAAUCCUGCCUAGGCUGCCUUUAAAAGCGAUAUAUUCGUUUACCUGGUGAUGCUGCUUAGUAAAACACUCGAGUUAAAAAGAAAUGCUAAGGAGGAGAGCAAGGAAGAUGAGAUGCGUUCUGCCUGGUGGAAGCAUUUUCAUGAGAAAGGCACGGUUUUCACCCCGUGUUUGCAGAAAUGCGGCUACACGGACGUCCCUUCAAUAGCUUCUGACCCCACACAAUCCUUUUGAUAACACUCGAGAGGUGGAAGAAUGGGAGACUUUGUCAAUCAAAUGGUGCCAAUCCCAAUGGAAACGGUGCCACCAAGACCGCAGAGCGUUUCCUCAUCAACUGGAUUGCGGGGGCUGGGAACUCAAGGAUCAGCUUUUGAAAGUGCGCACAGGGCUCUCCAAAGACAACAAUGUCUUUUUUAUACGAGCUGCUGUGCCUCCCCAAGGGGAAUUAAAUAUGUUCGGCCAGGCAGAGCUCGGAGGGCUCGGAGGGCAGAGGGUAAGGGUCCCACGCAAACCGCACGCAAAUUCUUUCUCAACAAGAAAGAUGCUUUCUAGGUGUAACUUUUUGAUACGAAGCCAUGAGCUGCUCCGUGCUCCCUCUGGGUCAGUUCAGGAGUGCACGUCUGGCUGCACCCCCUGCCCAGCGCUGCCGCCCCCGCUCCCAGUGCCGAGGAGGCGGCCCUGGGCGCUGCCCUGCCCGCGGCCCUACAGCCCGGGAGCAGCCGCUCACAGAGAGCUCCGAGCUGGAGGUGGCAAGAGCAGAUCUGUGACAGAGCUCUUUCUUCGCUUCUGGUCACCCAUAUAACUCUAACACAUCCAUAGAGAGAUGUAAAUGACCACCUGGAAAAAAGGCACCACAGAGGCAGCUUGCCUCAACUCCCCCCUCUCGAGAGACACCCACCCUGAGCGAGAUCAUAGAAACUUCAUCUGGUUGCUUGUGAGUGUCGGGGUAAUACACCCUCUGCGUCCCCGCGCUCCGCAGAACGGAAGAUGUGCCCAGCACACCUACGCCAGGAGCGGAGGUUUCCGUACUCAUCGUGUGGGGAGGACUUAUGACUCUGGCGGCCGCGGGCAGGGCGCUGGGAGCCUCUCCCCACCUGGAAAGCACAUGCUUGGGCGUGUAAGAAGGCAGGAGUCCUCCCAGAGACGCACCCUGCGAGCGCUACCUAGGCACGGAGCGCUCUGGGUGUUUGUGUGGGGAAACGCCUGUUGUGGCUCACGGGGGUAAUUCCUCGCCGUGGGAAAGCCCCCCUGCCCUGGUUAUCUCGUUAGGAUGGGAGAAACCCCUCAACACACCGGUCGAAACCUCUCCCCCUGGCGUGGGAACCUAAGGCAACCAGCGAGACCACCAAAGGCUAAAGCGAAAAUCCUCACCCCUCCGCAGAGCACGCACAGUUGCUCCUCCAGCUGCCCACGGCGUGGAGCAUCUCGCAGCUGGGGGUUCUCGGGGCUCCUUCGCCACCGGUCCCUGGCGGCCCCACUCGCAAAGCUCUGUGCGAGCGAGGGCAGCGGCGUUGCCUCCGCUCAGCUCUUUCCCUCCUUCCCCAGUUGCUGGAGGACGGCUGAGCCCUCCUGCCCUAGUCCUCGACACCCUCCCCGUCCUUUCCUUCUCCGGGCCGUUCCCGGCCAAGAGGGCCAGGGUGGGGCCAGGUACGGGGUGCCAGGGCAGGGCUCCCGGAGCCGAGGCGGCGGGCGGAGGGCAGCCGUGCCAGGGCGGGGGCGGCGGGGCCAGGGGCACGCCUCGGCCCGCCAGCCUCACCGCGCCCCUCCGCGGCUGUCCGGCGCCGGGACCCGCGGGAAAGGGCUCUUUGGAGGCACCCGGGGAGUCUCGGGUGGAUAGCAGCGGCACUCGCCCCCCUGUAUGAACUGCUGUCUGACCGCCUGGUCCGAUAUUAUCAGCAGUUAAUAUAAGCCCUCCGCACUGGCUUUCUUAGUGCCAGUAGACUGUCACUGCCGCAACGGUGCCACUACACACAUACAAAACUUACUGUUGCCCUGAAGCGUUUUUGAUACACCCAAGACAGAGAUGAUUAUGCGAAGGAUUACUUGAAGGUGGUUGUUGAGACAAUUUGCAAGAAGUUAGCCUGUAGAGCCAGUUAAAAAUACAAGCAAGUUUUAUUUAGAUAUAGAAACUUUUAAUCGGUAUGUACCUACAAACAGAAUCCCGACGGGAUCCAUUUAUCUGCUUUUGGGUGUAGCUAUUAGUAUAUUUCAUUAGCUGUCUUAGGAGUUACGCGCUUUUGUGUGUGUUCCCAGACAUGCCUACACACACACGUAGGAGCGUGGGGGUGCAUACCUCCGGCACUGGUUAUGCGUGAGUAUAUAUUUACGCAUACAUUCACAGUCCUCAA